rnacentral:rRNA from 1 species
GACGAACGCUGGCGGCGUGCUUAACACAUGCAAGUCGAGCGGUAAGGCCCUUUCGGGGGUACACGAGCGGCGAACGGGUGAGUAACACGUGGGUGACCUGCCCUUAGCUCUGGGAUAAGCCUGGGAAACUGGGUCUAAUACCGGAUAUGACUCCAUGACGCAUGUUGUGGGGUGGAAAAGCCUUGUGCGGCUAGGGAUGGGCCCGCGGCCUAUCAGCUUGUUGGUGGGGUGAUGGCCUACCAAGGCGACGACGGGUAGCCGGCCUGAGAGGGCGACCGGCCACACUGGGACUGAGACACGGCCCAGACUCCUACGGGAGGCAGCAGUGGGGAAUCUUGCGCAAUGGGCGAAAGCCUGACGCAGCGACGCCGCGUGAGGGAUGACGGCCU